CACACAUGUACACACACACACACACACACACUUGAGAGAGCUGGACCUGAGACACAAUCACCCAGGAGACUCAGGAGUGAGAGCGUUGUCUGCUGCUAAACUGGACACACUCACACUGCUUGUGGACCAUGGAGGAGAGAACAGGACCAAACCAGGACCCAGGAAAUACGGCUGUCAGCUCACACUGGAUCCAAACACAGCGCAGAGAAACCUGUCUCUGUCUGAGGGGAACAGGAGGGUGACACACACACCGGGGAGAGAGGAGCCAUAUCCUGAUCAUCCAGAGAGAUUUGAGUACUGGACCCAGGUUGUGUGCAGAGAGAGUGUGUGUGAGCGCUGUUACUGGGAGGCUGAGUUCAGAGUGUCUAAGGGGGGAGAGGUUUAUAUAGCAGUGACAGAUAAAGGAAUCAGCAGGAAACACAGGAGUUCUGACUGUGUGUUUGGAUACAAUAAAAACUCCUGGAGUCUGCAGUGCUUUAAGCUCGGUGACUCUGAUAAACUCACUUACUAUGUCUGGCACAAUUAUAUCCAAACACCCAUACCUGCCCUCACCUCCCCCUACCGCAGAGCAGGAGUGUGUGAUGAUGAUGAUGAUGAUGGUAGAGGAGUGUGUGUGUACAGAGUAGGAGUGUGUGUGGACCGUCCAACCGGCACUCUGUCCUUCUACAGCGUCUCUGACUCUGACACACUGACCCUACUGCACAGAUUCCACACACACUUCACUCAACACAAACCCCUCUGUGCUGGAUUUUAUGUGGAGUACUCCUCAGUAUCCCUCUGCCAACUGGAGUAGACACACACACGCACGUGCACGCACACACACGCAUACACACACACACACACGCAUGUGCGAGCACACACACGCAUACACACACACACACGCAUGUGCGCGCACACACAAAUAUGCAUGUGCACACACACGCAUACACACACACACAUGCACGUGCCCGCACACACAAACAUGCACGUGCACACACACGCAUAGACACACACACGUCUCUCGCACACACGAACAAACACAUUCACCAGUGCACUCUCACAUGCACACACAUGCAUACAUAUGUACACACGCUCAUAACCGUUUGCACACACACACUUUCUCUCUCUCUCAUACUCAGUCACUCACAUCCACACACAUUCACACAAACGCACGCACACACACACAAACUCAUGCACUCACGCACGCACACAUACAUGCAUGCGGAGACACAAACAUGUGUCAACACACACAUUCACAUUCCCAUGACGCAUGCACACACAUGUAUAAACCCACACACAUUCACAUUCCCAUACGCAUGCACACACAUGUAUAAACACACACACAUUCACCAGUGCACUCUCACGCGCACACACACAUGCAUGCAUACAUACACACGCUCAUAAUCGUAUGCACACACUCUCUCUCUCAUACUCUGUCACUCACACACACACACACACACCCUCUCACACACACACUCACAUCCACACACAUUCACACAAACGCACGCACACACACGCAAACUCAUACACUCACGCACACACACACAUGCCUGCAGAGACACAAACACGUGUCAAUACACACACUCCUCAGUGUCCCUCUGCUAACUGAAGUAGAGACACACACACAUGCGCGCGCACACACACACAUGCAUACACACACACAUGUGAGCAUACACACUCCAACGCAUGCACACACACACACAGACAUAUAUAUACACACACUCUCAUGUACAGAUACACACACUCAAUCACACACUCACACAUACACACACACACACACACACACACACACACACACACACACACACACAUACACACACACACACUCGUAUACACAUACACACACACUCAAUCACACACUCACACAUA